CCCGAAAAGGCCAAAUCCCGGGUAACCGGGAGGCGGAAAGCGGCGGGUCUUUGGAUGCAGAAGACGGCCGAGCUGCCGGAG
rnacentral:ncRNA from 1 species